GGAUGUGAUUAUACCAACACUAAUGCACUGGGUCCCAUCAGAACUCUGAAGUUAAGCGUGCUUGGGCAAUAUAGUACUAGGAUGGGUGAACCUCAGGAAAGUCCUCGUGUCGCAUCCC
rnacentral:rRNA from 1 species